rnacentral:rRNA from 1 species
CCUACGGGAGGCAGCAGUGAGGAAUAUUGGUCAAUGGACGAGAGUCUGAACCAGCCAAGUAGCGUGAAGGAUGACUGCCCUAUGGGUUGUAAACUUCUUUUAUAUGGGAAUAAAAUGUUCCACGUGUGGGAUUUUGUAUGUACCAUAUGAAUAAGGAUCGGCUAACUCCGUGCCAGCAGCCGCGGUAAUACGGAGGAUCCGAGCGUUAUCCGGAUUUAUUGGGUUUAAAGGGAGCGUAGGUGGAUUGUUAAGUCAGUUGUGAAAGUUUGCGGCUCAACCGUAAAAUUGCAGUUGAAACUGGCAGUCUUGAGUACAGUAGAGGUAGGCGGAAUUCGUGGUGUAGCGGUGAAAUGCUUAGAUAUCACUAAGAACUCCGAUUGCGAAGGCAGUUCACUGGACUGCAACUGACACUGAGGCUCGAAAGUGUGGGUAUCAAACAGGAUUAGAUACCCUUGUAGUC